AAGAGUAUGAACAUGUACUUUGAUGUUUAUGUUCCCCAUUUAUUGUCUAUACUUUAAUUAAUAUGUAUACAGAUUUUUUGUCCUAAUUUCUAGGUGAGUAUAAUUUGUCGAUUUUAAAUCAACUGGAUAAUUUCCUUGCACAUUCUAUCCGUAUGUUAAUUGCGUUGUGAACCUUAAGAUACCAUAUAAAUUGUUUUAAGAUUUCAUAUACUACACGCAUUUAAAUUGAAAUUAUCUGCUAAUGGAUCCCGUCGGGUACCCAAGGACAUUAUAAAACCUAGACUUUUUUGUUAGUUCGAUCUGUGGCCUCAAUUCUAUUCAAUAACAUUAACAGUUAAUCAUUUCGUGUAUUCAAGGCACAUUGAAUCAUUGAACGGUCUUGAAAAGUAAAUUCUCCCCUGUGUUGUGUUCAAUAAAACCCACUAUACUUAGUAAAGAACGGUCAUAUAAAGAAAAGAUCAAACACCAAAUAUCUAUCUGUAAAUAUGUACCUGACCUGGUUUAAGGACGAAUUUAUAUGACAAUUUGAUAUUUUUUAAGUUUUGUUUUAUAAUGCAUGUCCAGGCGUAGUUUUCUGUCAGCGUAUUUUUGUCCCUUUUCUCCAUUGUUAUUCUCCUGACCCCCCCCCCCCCCCCCCCCCCCCCCCCCCCCCCCCCCCCCCCCCCUUUUCAGUUUUAUCGAUCUACCGUCUUGAUUCAUGCUUUAAAGAUUAACAUACAAUGACCGAACUUUUACAGAAAAUUUAAUGUCAACUCUUUC
rnacentral:lncRNA from 1 species